UAGGGAAUCUUCCGCAAUGGACGCAAGUCUGACGGAGCAACGCCGCGUGAGUGAAGAAGGAUUUCGGUUCGUAAAACUCUGUUGUUAGAGAAGAACAGCGCAUAGAGUAACUGUUAUGCGUGUGACGGUAUCUAACCAGAAAGCCACGGCUAACUACGUGCCAGCAGCCGCGGUAAUACGUAGGUGGCAAGCGUUGUCCGGAUUUAUUGGGCGUAAAGCGAGCGCAGGCGGUCAAUUAAGUCUGAUGUGAAAGCCCCCGGCUCAACCGGGGAGGGUCAUUGGAAACUGGUUGACUUGAGUGCAGAAGAGGAGAGUGGAAUUCCAUGUGUAGCGGUGAAAUGCGUAGAUAUAUGGAGGAACACCAGUGGCGAAGGCGACUCUCUGGUCUGUAACUGACGCUGAGGCUCGAAAGUGUGGGUAGCAAACAGG
rnacentral:rRNA from 1 species